CCUACGGGAGGCAGCAGUGAGGAAUAUUGGUCAAUGGACGCAAGUCUGAACCAGCCAUGCCGCGUGCAGGAAGACGGCUCUAUGAGUUGUAAACUGCUUUUGUACGAGGGUAAACGCAGAUACGCGUAUCUGUCUGCAAGUAUCGUACGAAUAAGGGACGGCUAACUCCGUGCCAGCAGCCGCGGUAAUACGGAGGAUUCAAGCGUUACCCGGAUUGAUUGGGUGUAAAGGGUGCGUAGGGGGUCGGGUAAGUUAGAGGUGAAAUCCCGAGGCUCAACUUCGGAAUUGCAUCUGAUACUGGUAGGCUAGAGAGUAGUAGCGGUAGGCGGAAUGUAUGGUGUAGCGGUGAAAUGCGUAGAGAUCAUGCAGAACACCGAUUGCGAAGGCAGCUCACCAGGCUACUUCUGACGUUGAGGCACGAAAGCGUGGGGAGCAAACAGGAUUAGAUACCCGGGUAGUC
rnacentral:rRNA from 1 species